GUUUGGAGGAUAUCUGGUAUGUAAGUAAAUGUACUAUUAUUCGGAGAAAACAAUGUUUUUUGUUAGAUUUUAAGAAAGCAAGUGACUUCCGUUAAUUUUUGUGCAGAAAGAGGUUAUUGGGUUCAUGCACAAUAAUCAAAUUCAAUAGCAUUGGUAUUUAUCUUUGUGAUAUACAUAUAUUGACAAGCAAUGUUUAAAAAUAAAUUAAAAUGAGGAAUUUUUAUUUGUUUUUGUGAGAUUGCAAAUUGAAUGCAUUAACUUUUUGGUGUUUUACUUGACUUGCGGUACAUGUACAACUAUUUUCAGUUUUCUUACAAUCUGAAUGUCGGUGGAAAAACCUAGGGCUCAUAUUUUGCACACAUUAUAUAACAUGCAGAGCUAUUAUACUUAAUAUGUAAAUGUAAUCAUUUGAAUUAAAUUGAACGCCGAUGAUGACAGGCUGCUAUUAAUGCCCAUCACCAAAUUAAAUGCAUGUUCAGAUCAGGAAAUGUAAUAUACCAUUAUGUUAUCAUAAACCAAGUAUUAAGCACUUCUGUUAUAAUCAUAUAUCAUAUUGAUAUGGUAAUGAAUAUAAAUGAACUAUUUACAAAACUUUUUUUUAUUUUGAACUUUUUCAUCCCUUUUGAUAAUAUGAAUUUUUUAACAUUAUGUUAUGUAGAGGAUUUUGAUGGAUAUCUUCAGUAUGUGUUUUACAAUUGAGGACCAUAAUCACUGGGGUAAAUGUGAUCUCCGUUUUACAAUUGAUGACCGUAAGAUGCAUUUUAGUUGCUGAUAUGUAAAUCCUUUGGUGUUUGGCUGAUAGUUGUCAUUAAGGCGAUCUUGUUCAUUUUAUUAGUUACAACUAAAUAAUUUUCACAAUCAUUUGAAUUCUCAAAAAUAAUUUGUAAAUGUAUCGGAAUUCGACAUUAUUCUAUGAGUACAAGAGCAUAAUGUUCAGAUCCGAAAUGUCGCUAGUUGGUACCCGUCAAUCGUCUGCACAGUUAACCUUACUUACUUUUACCAAUUCAUAAUAUAUUUCAUUAGACAAUGUAUAAUACAAGUCCUGUCUUAAAACAAUUGAACUGACAGUCAGUUUUAAAUGACGAAGUUGAAGUGCCUAUCGAACCGAUGACCCGAGGCAGAAAAACUGAAAAGUAGUGCCAGUUAACCACUAAGACCAUUUCGAUACUGAGGAGCCAUGAUCCGGUUGUUUUUCGUUGUACGUUUUGGAAGGUCCUAAUAUUUCUAUUCACUUAUUACUUGAGAUAUGUCCAAUUAUGGUCAUUGAUCAUAAAUAUGUAAAACCCAUACCUGUAUUCGCAAAAAAAAAAAAAACAAUGAGACACAGUCUUGAUUUUCUUGUAAAAGGUGCACAUGAUUAAGUUGUAAAUAGAACUGAUCAUAUGUAGGAAAGGAAAAAAGGGUCUAAGUAUUUCAUUUAUAUCACGCUUAGAAUAAAUCUCACAAUCAGGACAUUUUCAAACAUAAUAAUACAAUAGCCGAUACUUAAAAAGAAAACUACUUUUGCACAUAUAAAUGCUAUAAAUCUUAAACUACUUUAUUCGUUUCAGUUCUUUUGUAUAUCUGUUUGAUGACAAUGAAAUCAGUACUUACGAUUAUAACGGCAAUCUUCCUUAUCACACACAGUUAAGUCGGUAUCAUAUCCUGACUAAAAUCUAGAAAUUGACAAUAAGGGUCGGUUGAUAACAAAACUUUACGACAAAAAAGAUGAUUUAAGCAUUCCAAUUGUGAACAUUCCAUUUCUAAGUAGCAACAUUCAAGCAGCACCGACAUACGGUGUAUAUGUCUCCCAAAUGAUACGAUAUUCCCGUGCUUGCAAGUCCUAUCAUGCUUUUCUUGAUAGAGGGUUGUUGCUUACAAGGAAGCUAUGAAAUCAAGAGUUCCAAAUGGUGAAGAUGAAAUCAUCACGUCGUAUAUUUUACGGACGCCAUUACGAGUUGGUUGACCGUUAUAGAAUAACUCUUUCACAAAUGAUAUCGGAUAUGUUCCUUACGUCGUAACUACAAUCCCCUUCCCUUUCAUGAAAGUGACCCACCGAAUUAGACUAUUUACCGGAUGUGUUAUUACAUAAACAACACGACGGGUGCCACAUGUGGAGGAGGAUCUGCUUACUCUUCCGGAGCACCUGAGAUCAUCCCAAGUUUUUGGUGGGGUUCGUGUUGUUUAUUCUUUAGUCUUCUAUGUUGUGUCAUGUGUACUUUUGUUUGUCUUUUUCAUUUUAAGCCAUGGUGUUAUCAGUUUAUUUUCGAUUUAUGAGUUUGACUGUCCUGUGGUAUAUUUCGUCCCUCUUUUCGAAUAGACUGUACUUAUGCAAAUUGAAACGUAAGCUCCGCCCGAUCAUGUUGAUUUUAAAAACGUAUUGCCAUGAUUACAUAUAACGACUUAUUGUAAAUGUGUAUAUUUGUUGUAGAGAACAUAAAAGAAGCAUGCAAGGUUCAGUUUGUUUAGUAGUGUGUUUGUUUUUAGUGUCCUCUGGAGGUAAGAAAUAUGACGCUCUUUUAUUUAAAGUUUGAUUAUCAGUUGAAACGUGUUUUUUAUUAAAUCUCUUUUAAAAUAUCAACAUGCAUUUAAACACUUCGGACGAAUUAUUUACCUAAUAAAUAAUAUUAAAAAGUUAAGGUUUCUGUGUUGACACAGUUAUGGAUUUUUGUGUUGUGACUAUUGAACUCUUAAAAUGCAGAUUUCGUUUGUUUUACGUAAGUCUACACAAUACAUUUCCAGUAAAUGUUGGUUUUGUAGAUUUCAGCUAAAGUUGUUUUCGAAUGAAUGAUAGAAGGUAAUUAGUUACACAUGACCGAGACAGCUUCUAUAUUUUUGCAACUUUUUUAUUUUGGGGAACAUAGAGUGGAAUUUCAAUAUACUGUUUGACAUGUUUUUUGUAUAUUAUAAACAUAGUCACGUUAUUUGAUAUACUAUCACUUUACUUCCAGUCAAUAUGGCAACUGAGGACAUGCUAGAUGAUAGUGGACUUAAUAAGGAGUAAGUUAAGUCGCAUGUUUUGAUUAAUCCAAUAGAUUGAGUUUAAGUUUAAAUGGGUCGAUAAAUGAUAAGUCAAGUUUGUAUUGGAUUGUUAAGCCUCGGUCACAACUUAAAGGAUAGCUCGAACGGAUGUCGAACAGAUAACUUCUUUUUCAAUCCAUUCUCAUCCGUUUGACGUCCGUCCAUAUUCAUUUCAUGUCCGUUCAGCGUCCUUGUUAUCUGUUGACGUCCGUUCUUUCCAGUGGAAAAUUUUGAGCUUGUUCAAAACUUUGAACGUCCGGUAGUCGUCCGUGUUGUACUGUACUCGUCCGUUUCGUUUCCAUUUUGUAUCCGCUACUUGUCCGUUAUCAAUCCGUUGAAGGUCCGGUAGACAAAUUCACCAACGAACUCCGACCGGGCAUAUAACGGAUAAAAAGGAUGAUGAACGGAUUGAAAACGGACAUGAACAGAAGAAUUACGGAUACCUACCGAAGUUUAAACGGAUAAAUGCCAAUUGAAAAUUUCGCGUCAGUCAGAAAUGUCAGGUUUCUUGAGUGUCAUGAAUGUCUAUAACACAUGAUGGAUCUUUGAGGAAGAGCAUUUCUUCACUAUCAAGCAGAUCUUAUUCAGGUCCAAUUGAACUUAAAUGUUGCAAAUCUCAACCUAUACUAAUACAAAUAUAAAUUUUGUCAACGGAAAACUUUUUUUUCAUCCGUUCGGCAUCCGUUCGAGCUAGCCGUUAACGUAUGACAACAGCUUCAUACAUUUAAUUAAACAAAAAGGACUAGUCCCUUGAGAAAAAAACCCACUAAAUUAAUCGAAACAGGUAAUUUCUAUUACACAAGGCGUGAAAUUUAUUUCAGACGAAAAUAAUCAUAAAUCAACGCUUUAGAUUUUUUGCUUUGAUAUUCAUUGAAUUUUUAAUUGCGUUAAACAUGUUUAUAGAUAUGGGAAUAUCUGAUAUGAGUGCCAAUAAGACAACUAUCAAUCCAAGUCAUAAUUUAUAAAAGUGUUAAAGGUAUAAAGCAUUACACACUGUUUAUACAAAUGGAUGUAAAUAUGUAUAGAAGCAAAAUUCAAAUAUAAUCAUUUAUUCAAUUUUCAUUUUUAUUUGCACACUGCAUUUGUUUACCUUCAACUUCAUUGUAUUACUCUGUAAAAGAUACGUUAACGACUAGCUCGAACGGACGCCGAACGGAUGAAAAAACAAGUUUUCUGUUGACAAAAUUUAUAUUUGUAUUAUUUUGAUGUUAUAGCGAAUGAAGUAUUUCUCGAAUAAUCUUCAUCAUAACAAGAACCUAAGCCUUACAACGUUUAUAACUUGACAAAUAUUUAAGGAAUGACUGUAAUUUUUUUCUGUCUAUGAAGAAAUAUUACAGUCAUAUCUUAUAAUUUAAUUCUAAAUUUUAUUUUAAACCGGAGUAAACUAUGAAAAAAUGUUGAUGACGUCACGGUCACAUGACAAAAUUACAUCUAUGAGCUGAUAAACAAAACAACGUCAGCUAAUCAGAAGACACGUUACAUCCAAAAUUAAAUUAUUGCAAUAUCAAUGUGAUUUUAUUUGAUUUAUAUGUUUUCACUUUGUUUUGUUUUUGUUUUAGACGUUUUAAAAGAGGUACUCCGUGUGAAAGACCAUGCUACAAUAGCUAUCAAUGUUGUACGGGUUGGCGAUGCUCAUAUAGGAAAAAAUGCACGCCAAGAUUUACUAUUGGCUAGGUUU
rnacentral:lncRNA from 1 species